rnacentral:lncRNA from 1 species
GAAUAACUCUUACGCAUUCUAAUCUCUCGAAUUUCUCUUGUAUGCUAUUCAAAAGCGGGUCUCUAUCAAGCUGCUCAGUGUCAAGAAAAUUGUACCACUACUCGUUGCAUUAUCUAUUUAAUAUUUUUUUACGAGAAAAUUAGUAUGGCAUCUUUGUUACUGGUAAAGAACACAAAUAUUGAAUUGUUAGACAAUUAUACGGAGAAGGA